GAUGAACGCUGGCGGCGUGCCUAAUACAUGCAAGUCGAACGCAUAGCGAAAGGUGCUUGCACCUUUCAAGUGAGUGGCGAACGGGUGAGUAACACGUGGACAACCCGCCUCAAGGCUGGGGAUAACAUUUGGAAACAGAUGCUAAUACCGAAUAAAACUUAGUGUCGCAUGACACAAAGUUAAAAGGCGCUUCGGCGUCACCUAGAGAUGGAUCCGCGGUGCAUUAGUUAGUUGGUGGGGUAAAGGCCUACCAAGACAAUGAUGCAUAGCCGAGUUGAGAGACUGAUCGGCCACAUUGGGACUGAGACACGGCCCAAACUCCUACGGGAGGCUGCAGUAGGGAAUCUUCCACAAUGGGCGAAAGCCUGAUGGAGCAACGCCGCGUGUGUGAUGAAGGCUUUCGGGUCGUAAAGCACUGUUGUAUGGGAAGAACAGCUAGAAUAGGAAAUGAUUUUAGUUUGACGGUACCAUACCAGAAAGAGACGGCUAAAUACGUG
rnacentral:rRNA from 1 species